rnacentral:rRNA from 1 species
UACGAACAGGACGAACGUUAUUCGGAAUCAUUGGGCUUAAAGGGUGCGUAGGCGGCCGCGUAAGUCGGGUGUGAAAUCCCUCGGCUCAACCGAGGAAUUGCGCCCGAUACUGCGUGGCUAGAGGGAGACAGAGGCGAGCGGAACUGAUGGUGGAGCGGUGAAAUGCGUUGAUAUCAUCAGGAACACCGGUGGCGAAGGCGGCUCGCUGGGUCUCUUCUGACGCUCAGGCAAGAAAGCUAGGGUAGCGAACAGG